UACGGGAGGCAGCAGUGAGGAAUAUUGGUCAAUGGGCGAGAGCCUGAACCAGCCAAGUCGCGUGAAGGAUGAAGGUUCUAUGGAUUGUAAACUUCUUUUGUCCGAGGGUAAAAAAGGUCACGUGUGACUUCUUGCAAGUAUCGGACGAAUAAGCAUCGGCUAACUCCGUGCCAGCAGCCGCGGUAAU
rnacentral:rRNA from 1 species